GGUCUCGUAGUGUAGCGGUUAACACGCCUGCCUGUCACGCAGGAGAUCGCGGGUUCGAUACCCGUCGAGACCGCCA
rnacentral:tRNA from 1 species